rnacentral:lncRNA from 1 species
AUAUGAAUCUUAACCAAAUCCUAAUGUAAUCCUAAACAAAUCCUAAUGAAAUCUUAAACCAAUUCAAAUCAAAUUUUAAUCAAAUUCUAACAACAUUCUAAAUUAAUCUUAACAAAAUCCUAAUCAAAUCCUAAACCAACUCUAAUCAAAUCCUAAAUCUUAAUUAUAUCUUAAUCAAAUUUUAAUAUAACACUAAAUUAAUCUUA